CCAGCCUAACCCUGAGGAACACAGCAUCAUGCUUGUCUUUCCCCAGGGAUUCGGAGCAUCCCGAGAGCAUUCCCAUUGGUUCAGAAGAUAGCAAAUCCAACUGCAUGGUGCAAACGCUUGACCGGCCACUGACUCUCAACUCAAACCAGAUGUCUGGGCUGCACAGAGGGAAGACGCAAGGCUCCUGAAGCGACUCUUUCCGUGCAGUUUUUGGAACUGAGGAGUCAAAGAGCAGGCAGCCCGGCGCCCUGGUCAAUAGGAGUUCGUUCAGCCAGUCGGGGCCAAGC